ACUAUUCUAUUUUCUGUGAUGAUA
rnacentral:siRNA from 1 species